rnacentral:rRNA from 1 species
CAAACGUUAUUCGGAAUCACUGGGCUUAAAGGGUGCGUAGGCGGCGCGGAAAGUAGGGUGUGAAAUCCCUCGGCUCAACCGAGGAAUUGCGCCCUAAACUACCGUGCUCGAGGGAGAUAGAGGUGAGCGGAACUUAGGGUGGAGCGGUGAAAUGCGUUGAUAUCCUAAGGAACACCGGUGGCGAAAGCGGCUCACUGGAUCUCUUCUGACGCUGAGGCACGAAAGCUAGGGUAGCGAACGGG